rnacentral:lncRNA from 1 species
ACUUUGUACUGUCUGGAGACGUUUGAUGCUGUCACAACUGGCGGAGGGGACCAGCGUUACUGCUGUUAACUGGAAUGUGACAACACAAAGAACAGCCUCUCAACCCCACAGAAUUACCUUGUUCAAAGCAUCACUUCUGAGCUUCAGAAGCUUUAGUCGAAGCGUGGACCAGGUCUUCACGGCUGUGGGUCCGGGCUCAGUCCCAUAAGAUGGAAGGCUAGCAAGUGGCAGAGAAGUCAGAAGGAAACAAUACAGAGUCAGUGGGCUCUGGGACACUGCACGGAUCUUUCACAGCCACAGGGGAGAAGAGCAAGCUUAAACAGUUCGUUAGGUGAUUCUGCAGCCACCAGCUGAACCCAGAAAGGAAGACAUUCAGUGAGAUAAGUACCUGACACACAUGGUUGUCACCGUCUCCCACCCCCGAGUUUCAGUCACAAGCAUUGCUAUUAUAAUAUGUGUAGAAAGAUCCAAUUCUGUUUCGUUCAGUGUUAUUGAAAGUUUUUCAAAUUGAGCUCAUGUUGCUCGGUUGGUAGAGUGCUUGCCUAACAUGGAUAAAGCCCCCGGCUU